AUUAGUCGUCCAUUGCGAAGCAAGUUUGUACGUGACUACGUCAUCGUCAUAAAAAACACCCUUUUCCUGACUUUGAAAUUUGAGUCCAUACAUCGAAAAUUCUGUACUAGUUGUAGGACAGUUUUCAAAGUAACGAGAAGUAUCAGUUGUCACAUAUACUGUAGUUUAUUAUGUUUAAAAUUCUAAAUAAUAUUAGAUGUGACUAAGCCUAACGUCCCUAUCAAUCAGCUUUAACUGUAUAAGUUUAACUUCUAUUUCUAAGUUUUACUAAAUUUAAAAAGUACAAAGUAAGCUGUAUUACCUCCAGAUUUUCAACAAAAUUCUGUUGGAACCAACCAGGUGAUAGGAGUCCAUGAUUUAGAAAUAACGAAGAAGAAAACAUACUCCUAAAUAAGGAUAUCUUGAAGAUCAUAUACUAUAAGCAGUUUUUACAAGUGGGCAUGAGUUUAAAGUCAAGAUUAUAUGUGAAAAUAAAAGAUGACUAGAAGUCCUUAGAAUUUGAAAGAAGUGAUCAAGUUUCCCAUGUAAAAGUUUUUAUACAAGAAUUAGGAAAAAAGAAAGUAUUGAAGAAACAAAUUCUGGCACAUAUUAAAGAAAAAACGAGAACAUGAUUCAGCCUGAAUAAACCUGCUAUACAGGUUUUAGUGAAGCAGCUUUAGCAAUUUGCCUCUACUCAUACAUAAGUCAGAGUUUUUAAAUAAAAACUGAAAAUGUUAGAAAACAGUUGUUGCAUUGGUAAUCAAUUAAAUUAUGACAUGAAACAAAAUUAAUAAUAGCAGAAACUAGUAGAACUAGAAGAAAUUUGAUUGAAAAAGCAUCUAAUGUUAAUAGUUAUGAGAAACUGGAAAUGAAGAAAAAAUUAUCACUUGACAAGUUUUCCAAAGUAGUAAGCCAUAUGUAUGGGUUAAAAAAAAACACAAAUUUUGAAAGUUUACAAGAUCAAAACCUCGACAAACCACGUUUUAAAAGAGUGGCUAGUCUAAAUGCCUUGGCAAAAGUUCAUGUUCUUUAUGAAAAUGAUAGUUCCAAAACAACUGAUCAUUACUUGUAUAAAGAGAAAAGAGAUUUAGAGAAGAAAAAUGAAAGUAACAUUAAAAAAAUGCAAACAGCAUUCAGAUUUAAAAACAAAAUCAAACAAAGAAAUAAUCCAAGGAUCUCGGAAACCUCAUUGAAGUGUAAGAAACGGAAUACUGUACAGGUAGAAGGACAAGUCUUUAAUACUAAAACCUGUAAACGUAUAGCUAAGCUCAAUGCAAGAGCCAUUUUGGCUGCAUGUUCUUCUCCUCUUUACACUUGCAGAGAAAAGAAAAUCAAACAUCAGAUAGGUCAGCAAGAAGUAAAAAAUUCUGUUAAUGAACAAAAGAAAAAUUUUCAGGAAAGUUAUGUUGAGAGUCAUCUUAAUAAACAGUCAGUACAUAAUGAUCAUUUGUGCACUGCCACAAGAAAAACUAAAGUUAGUAUAUCCCAACAAACUUCUAUACCAGAAAAGGAAACAAUUCAAGCAAAAAUAUUUGAAAAAGUUAAUGAAAAAGCUGUUGCUGAAGGAAUGCAAGAAUAUGCUGAACACAAACACAAGGAAAAUAACUUUCAGGAAGCAUUCAUAGCUGAUAAAAGAAACCAAACAGUUGACAACAUAAUUUCAAACAAUUCAUCAGUUUUAUCAACACAUGUGGCUGUCACUGAGUCUCAGAUCAGUGCAACUAGUACAGAAAUUGCCAGUUUUUCAUUGAAUAGUGAAGUUGAAGAGGAUCUAGGUAUUGCAUAUUCAAAGUCCUUGGAGCCAGAAGAACCUAGCUACUGCCCCAGCCCUCAAAUAUUAACCAGUGGAACCUGUAACUCUCCCAGUUUUGAGACAGAUGUUUCUCCCUCAAAGGAUUUGAGUAUCUUUUCAAGUAACUCUCCGCUCUCAUUGGAAGAUAACAUUCAUACAGAAAAUGAGCCUGAAAUAUCUGUGGUUUGUGUAGUUUCCAAACGUCACUCAGCUACUGAUCACUAUCGAACUUUAAGAACAGAUUGUCAAUCUAAAACAGAGAAAGCAUCUACCCAUGAGAACACAUUAAAUAAUCCCAAUUUUGAACAUACUCCAGUAGUGUCAUACUUUAAUGAAGAGCAUAGUGAGUGUUAUCAGCCUGCAGGACCCUUAAUUCAACCCAUCCGUGAUGCACACUUGAUCCACAGACCUGUUCCUCACCAUCCACAUCAGCCCCAUCUGGAUACUUUGCCAGAAGAAUGCUACAGACAAAAACAGGCAUUAGCUUCUUACAUUUGUGAACCAUCAACUCAUAUUAGUAAACCACUAGCUUUGGAACAUGUGAAGCAUCAGCCACUACAAUAUUAUGGAUCUUCCAGCAUUUCGAGGUGUUUUGACCAGGAUUUGAUACAUCGUGACCUCUUUGUCUCUCCACAAAAAAGCAAUUUCUCUAAUUGUCUACUUUCUAGAUUCCCUCAAGGCUACUGUGUCCAUAAACAUUCCGGAGAUAAUUUUUCUUAUACUAAUGAUUAUAGUUCUCAAAAAAGGAUGCCACUUUCUACUUCUUCUUACCAAGAAGACAUAACACCUUUCUUCAGUAGGUCCUUCUGUCCAGUAAGGUUUGCAAUGAAUGAUGUGCCAGACCAUUGUUUAUCAUUCAAUCUUGGACCAUACAGUGUUCAGUCAGUUUCUUCUCCUAGACAUUUAUCAUAUUCCUGUAAUGCUCCCAUAAUAAUUUCAUCUCCUCAUACUCAAUUUGGUCAACAAUCAGUUUGUUCACCAUUAAGUAAAAAUAGAAGUAAAAUUCAUACAUGUACCCAUGGAGGUUACACAACUCCAGUUACAUCUUACAGCUCUUCACAACAUGCUGUAUUUCCAAGAUCCAACCACUAUAUUAAUCAUUCAGUAGAUCAUGUGACAGAAAAUAGAGAUCACAUUGUUCAAUCUUUUUCAAAAAAUAUGCAUAAUGAUAAGUCAUGUACUUCAGCAGAUCAGACUGUUUUCAAUAUUUCAUCUGAUUUUCAUGUGAAACAAGAACAACAGUGUUCAAGAUUUUACCCAAACCAUAAUACUUUAGCAAAGAUCAGCCACAAUAAAUAGUCGGUUAUCAUUGGUGAACCUUUGUUUUUCCCCACAACUUAAGCUUGAACAGAGGAAGUUACAAGGUUCUAAUUUUAUGUGCAUUGCUUAACCAAGAAAAUAUGUUGCAUAUUUUUUAUGUGUUAGAAAAACAAAUAUCAAAGACAAACAGGCAAAGCUCACCAAAGGAAUCACUCUAAAGAAUGCUUAAAUGUUGGCUAUGUUUCAGGUUUUCAGUCCUCUGAAAAGCAUUUUAAAGAUUAUUAAACAAUUACCAAGUUAAUUAGCAACAACAGUGAAAAGAAGAUUCACAAAAAAAUCUGAAGUGACAGCUAAGCAUCAGGAAAUCAACAUAGACAUAUCCUAAAUGACAAGUCUUUCCUUGCAGAUAAUAUAAAAUGAAAGAUAUAGCUGCAUGUGAUUUGUCAGGUAUCUCAUUUGCAAAAGAAUUACAACCUUCUCUGUGCUUGCAACUCAUUAGCCUGAAAGGUUUUUUAAAGCAAGGAAAACAGAGGGUAAUCCCAUUGAAAAACUUGUCUUCUUUACUGUAGGUGUGAAUAAUGUUGAAUUAUAUGAUGCUGUGACAUUUUUGUUUGAGCUACAACAAGUAGUAUCUUUGGUGUAAUUUAUUCUAAAGUUCCAUUCUCUUAGCUUUCUUAUGGAUGGUGAUAACAAAAUAGUUUGUGUUUUAAUUUAAUUCUUCACCUUGCCAGCUUUAUUGUAGAAGCUGGUUAUGAUAAUAUAAUUUCUGUUUUAAUUUCUAAUAUAUGGGACAAGCAGUGUAGUUUUUGUAUAAUAUGACAAGCGUACGAUUUUUCCCUUUAACAUUGUUAUUCUUUAAUUCACAAGUUUUUCGUUGGCAUUUCAUCAGCAUGCUUCAGACAUUUGUUUUUCAAUUAACCUACGGUAACUCAUUUAAGAACAGUUAUACUCUUGGAACAAAUGGAAUAUCGCAUCAAUCAUGAAACACCAAUACUAUGAAUAUUUUGGUAACAAGAUUUAAAAUUAAUAUUUUUAUGAAAGCUGACUAUAUUGCCAUCUGUUGAAGAUUUAGAGAUGAAGAAAUAAAAUACAAGUAAAGUCAAUAUUAUUAUUCACAAUGAAGUUUGUUUGAUGAGUGAAAAUAAUAUUCCAUGAAGUUCACAUUAUCUUUAUUUAGGCAUUUAUCGUGUGUCUCAACCCAACUUAAUUGAUAACCUCUUUUGGUAGUCCCUGUCUUUAACAAUAAUUUGAAUGUCCUCUGAAGUGAUGUGAUGAUCAAUGGAAUGAGCAUGCUCAGCCACAACAAAUGUCUUGGGACUGAAUGGUCUUGUAAUAUUAUGAUUUCUUGCUGUUCUAAACAAUCAAUGUGUAAUGACCUUUUUAUCUGCCCAAUAUACUCCAGAAAAUAGAAAUGUGGUAUUUUGUUUAUAGUAUCAUAAAGCUGAGUUUAUUCCUUUUUAUUUUUCAAACGAGACAGUGUAUUGUGGAGUGUUUGAAUGUUUUAAAGCCUGUUUUGUUAUUUUAUCAGCUUCUGGAAUACAAGGUUUAGCAGUAAACAACGUGACAGUUUAUGAAUUACUAUACAUGCCAGGAAUGAAGCUAUACAGAAGAAGGGCCAAAGGGAAAGCUGAAACUACAAUGAAGAGUAUAUGAUUGUACAUGAAAACUGGUUUUAUCAGGCAAGUUUGAAAUUGCAGCUAACUUCAAGAAAGGUCGUAUGAUUCUGGUUGUCAUCAAAACUGAUGAUUGCUUUUUAUUUGAUAAUAUGCACUGGGCUGUCCCAGCUCCAGUUUUUGACUUGAGUUACCAUUUAUUAUGACCUUUAGUGAUACAAGAGUUGGUGCUGCUACUUGGCUGAAUAGAUUUAUUUUAUAUUACAGUAUACAAUAAUAAUAAUAAUAAACAAGUGUUUUAGCUCAACCUAUUCUUCAAUUUCUAUAUAUAUAAAAAAAAGAUAUUAAAAUUUUUGUGUGUAUGCUUUUGUAGAAUGAUGAGUCAUUAUCUUAGAAAAUAUUUUUCCAGGAACAUCAUGCUAAGGGAGAUGUCAUUAAUGUGAGAGACUCUGUUUCUUUUAUCUGGACCUAGUGAGACAGAUUUGUCAUUUGUUACAAAAAUUGAAUCAUUAAGUGAAGAACCUAACAAUGGUAAGAAUAAGGGGAAGAGACGGUUAAAUUAAGUAGUUAUUUGUUUUUAAUACUUUUUUCUUACUUUAAGUUGCUUAUGUAAUAGGUUUUGCUCAUAAGAUGGACUUAACCUCAGCAUUAUUUUUUAUUAUAAAAAUGUUUUAAGUGUAUUAGAGUACCUCCCCACCAAAUUUGUUUGUUACAAACUCAGUGUUUAACAUUGUACACACAACACAGUUUUAUUGUUUUUUCUGUUUUCUUGUGUUCAAUAUUUAUUUGAGGUGUCCAUUUCGAUUUAAUUACGUAUCUGUUA
rnacentral:misc_RNA from 1 species